AUGUCUUUUAUUUUGUUUUUUCAUAUGGUUCCUGUAAUGUGUUUCCCUUGUCAUCAUGUGAUCCUGCUAUUGGUUGUCUCGUUCGUGUGUGUAAGGUCUCCUUAAGAACAACCUAUACCUAGGAAAUAGAAUUACACCAAGGAAACAUAAAGCUUGUUCGACUUAUGUUUCCCUGGUGCUCAUGUUCUCGAUGUUUCUGCGCAUAUAUCCUUAAAAUGUUUUUGAGGAUAUUAUAUCAGAUUAAAAACCGACUGAUAAUUAUUUGGUUGUCAAAGCACAAACCAUUUACUUUUAAAGACAAAUUUUAUUAACUCGUCAUGUAAUUCAGAUAUUCACUAGAUGGAGGACUUUAAAUUUGCAAAAUAAAUAAAUAAAUAAAUUGUAAAUAUAAUUUUAGAGUUCACAUUUAACGGAAAUUCUGUUCUUUUCUAUUGUUGACAUUAAUGCAUGCAAAUUCUUACAUUCAUUUGUCUUUCUCAUUUCUCCAGUUGCUCUUAACUUCUCACAUCGGACAGAUUAUUUAUCUUUUGGAAACAAUGUUCCUGGACACAUCAAUCCCCUUAAUGGCACAGAAAAAAUUACAUUAGAGCGUAGAAAAAAUGCUGUUUCAGUAUUUUAUCACAGCUGCGCCCACCAAGCUGCACACAUCAGGUGUUUCAGUGUACAUGCAUCAGUUUUCUGUUACAGAACAGAUUGAUUGGGUAUUUUGUUGACAUUAUCUACUGUCGCUUUAGACUUGGAGCAGAUCAAUCCAAGGAGCUUACCUGUAUACAUAAGACCGUGAUCUUCUGCCAGCAACAUCAGGCCAAUCUGCUGCUGUCCAGAAUCAGGUGGUUUGUCUUCGUCUGGCAUCUCAGCUGAGACCUGUCCACUAUGGGAGACCCUACCAGUAGUUGUGAAGUACCAGUGGCGUAGCUCUCAGCAUCACUGAUGCACACAAGCCCUCACAGCACGUCAAGCUGCAAACCGUGCAGGGGCUCUUCGCUGAUGUCCACGUGAAUUUGAGGGGCGAAGCUUCUGUUGUUUGUGGAGGAGCUUUCAGUGAUCAGGAUGCGUCCACCAGGCUGUUCUGUCUCUACCAGUGAGGGGCAGUUGAGUGUCUUCCACAGACGCUGCUUAAUCUUCAGUCCCAGCUCAAGGCUGUAGGGACGGCGUCGACCACGGCGUGUCUUCAUCAAGGGCUCAGCCACAGAGUGGUAAAUGUCCUGGUAGCCCUGGAUGCUGCAGCCGUGAAUGGAGACAGACUCUUCCUGCUGACACAGAGCUGUCACUGAAGAGACUGAUGCUGCUGGACGGAUGUCAGGAAGGACAGCAGCAUUCUUUAGGUAGCGCUCUUCCAGACCUCUGGGUCUUCGAGCUUUCGCAGAGAUGCAGCUGUAAGAGUGGUCCAACCUGAUUACAGCUGCCAACUGUGAAAGAUCACUUGGAGUUCGAAUGGAAGAGAUGCCCUCCACUACAAAGCCCCUCAGGUGUGUGGGACGAGCCCUGGUUCUUCUUGUGCGACGCUGCUCCAUGAUAAUGAAUCGAGAAAAACUUCACAAACUCAACAAAUUACUGAGACUCACCAAAUUGUAGAGUUGUGAAGAGCUUGUAGCAGAGCUUGAUCAGGAUUUAAGGCUUCAGGAACAGUUGUGUUGAUUUUCAAAUAUCAACUCAAGCUGCUGUACUGACAUAGAAUGUUGAGAUUCAUUUGAACGUAAACAACACUUGAUGUCAUCAUUAAGUCAAUUAGAGCAGCAUGAGCUCUAUGUUACAUGUACUAUGCUUCUCUAUUACCAUUAUCAUCCUCAUUUACAGUUUUAUAUACAUAUUCCUCAUCUGUUUAUGUAUAUAGUGCUGUUUGUUAAGGCCAGAAUCACUAUAGGAGCUGCUCUGUGUUAGUGGUUCAUGAAUGAAUCUGUGUGCUGAAUGAAUCUUUUAUGUGAACAAAUCAUUCUUGCAUUGAAUAAUAUCUUCAGUUCACUGAAGUUUCUUCCUUUUGAAGUGCACAGCUGUUACAGUCCUGGCGCCAUGGGCAGGCACUGGGGGGCCUGGCCCGCCCUGGACGAGCCUGCGGUCUCCCUUCACCUGUUCACCAGCUCCAUGUCCCACACAUUUUUUUUUUUAUCAUUAGGCUA